CUCCUGCAUAACAGAGCAUCCUGGUUUUGAGGCUGUUGCUCUGAAUCCCUACGUGUUGCAGGCAGUUUAUGGCACCUUUCUGCAACUCUAUGGGGAGAUGCAGGAGACUACGCUCAACAGCUGUUACAGACAUCUGGCGUACCGGAAUGUGGUCAGGUGGUGUUGGGGUUACCUGGGACAGCACGUUCGUGUUGUGAUCCCGUCAUGCGCUGUCUCCAGAAUAAGGCAGGAGUUCCCAGAAGACGGUGCAUACAAAGGAUUCCUCCCUCCUCUGAACUAAUAUAUAUUUUUUUGAUUAAAUAAAUGUUAUAAUAUAUA